CCGCAUCACCUGUCAACAGGGGCCAAGGUACAACGAUAUCGGUAGUCUCGGUAUCUUGUAGGUGUGUUAUGCACUGUUUGUGAAAAUACCAGCGUAAAAAUGAGAGAGUUUGUUCGAAUGAACGCAGCCUUUUCUGGCUCGAGUGUGGUGUUCGUGGCCGCGGUGUCGUUGCUGGUUGGAGCAUAUCUCGGCUACAGGAUCCGCGACAAGAUGGACCUUAAGAAGAAGAGAAGAGACUGAUUUCAGGGACACAGGGAGCAGAUGAGGACUGGGCGGUGUACAGUGCAGGACACGUGGUUAUGAUAGACGGAGAGACGACUUGAAUUGGACCUGAUGUUGAACAUUGUAGACAUACGUUUAGUACGCUGACGUGGGAUUAUUGUUCAUCGUCCAUUGGAAAAAGCACUUAAACACCACACCAAGAUUAGAAAACUCCGCUGAGUGAUAAAUGAUUUUCCACUA